CUGUGAGAUCAUGCUCUGAGCCAAAGUCAGAUGCUUAACCGACUGAGCCACCCAGGUGCCCCUCAUUUUUUUUUUUAAUAUUAUACAGUCGAAAGCACUAGAAGUGGAAGCAUAACUUAACAGCUUUCUGGAGGCCAAGUUUGCAACAAGUGUGGAAGUCUGUCACAAUGCACAUACUCAGAAGAUGUCUCUCCAGCAGUAUGAAAAUACGCGUGUAAGCACAAGAGAUUGGUUCAAUACGCACACACACAUUACGUGGAGAAGUACACAGCUCCAAAAAAGAAUGGGGAAGAUCUCUAUGUACUGAUAUGUCGUGAUUUCUCGGAGAUACUGUUAACGGAGAAAAGCAAAGUGCAAAAGAGCAUAUGUGGAAAGCGACAUUCUGCUUAAGGAGGAAAAUAAGAAAACAUAACAUAUCUGCUUAUUUCGAAAAAGGAAACAUAGAGGAUCAACCUGGAAACAAUGAAGUUGAUUGCCGACAAGGGGUGAGGAGGGCUGAGCACAGAAUCUGGCUGGAAUGUUUGACAGUUGAAUAGAAUAGGAAUCAGACCUCCUGACAUCCACCUUGCUGUCCGGACUCUUCAGAACUGGAAAGAACCAUACAGAUGUGGCCCAACCCUCGUCUCUUAACAGAUGAGAAACCCAAACCCAGCAGGGUAAGCAAAGUCAAGGGUCAAAACUGGUACUUCUGCAUCCAAGGUCCAACACUUUUUUUUUUCCCCCUGCAACUAUGCCGCCUCUAACUUGAGUUGAACAAAAUGUGCUUUGUGUACCUCAAUAAAUGUUUACUGAUUAUUAUUUUCAAUCUCUUAUUAAACAAUAACUGAUGAA